rnacentral:rRNA from 1 species
ACUCCUACGGGAGGCAGCAGUGGGGAAUAUUGCACAAUGGGCGCAAGCCUGAUGCAGCCAUGCCGCGUGUGUGAAGAAGGCCCUCGGGUUGUAAAGCACUUUCAGUCGUGAGGAAGGUAGUGUAGUUAACACCUGCACUAUUUGACGUUACCUACAGAAGAAGCACCGGCUAACUCCGUGCCAGCAGCCGCGGUAAUACGGAGGGUGCGAGCGUUAAUCGGAAUUACUGGGCGUAAAGCGCAUGCAGGCGGCCUGUUAAGUCAGAUGUGAAAGCCCGGGGCUUAACCUCGGAAUUGCAUUUGAAACUGGCAGGCUAGAGUCUUGUAGAGGGGGUAGAAUUUCAGGUGUAGCGGUGAAAUGCGUAGAGAUCUGAAGGAAUACCGAGUGGCGAAGGCGGCCCCUGGACAAAGACUGACGCUCAGAUGCGAAAGCGUGGGAGCAAACAGGAUUAGAUACCCCUGGUAGCGACUGA